rnacentral:sRNA from 1 species
AAAAGUGUCAGGCUGACUGAAGCUCCCUUCUUAUCGACAAAACGGGACAGGACAGGCAAUGAGAGUCCAAGAUUCUCCAGACUGUGUCGACUUCUUCAGACUGUCCCAUCACCCUAACCUGGAAUGAUCAUUUACAGGUAAAAGGGUAGUUCAGUCUCCAUCACCAUUCUGGCCUUGGCCUUG